CCCACACCCAUGUGUGUAAGACCCCAAAGGAUCAUCAUUAAAUUUAGCACAGAUCUCUAGAAAAGUUAUCACAUAAAUGUGAAAAUUGACUUUUUUAAAGAUCAGUGCCAAAUUUAUUAAUGAUCCUUUGGGGUCCUACACACAUAGGUGUGGG
rnacentral:pre_miRNA from 1 species